rnacentral:lncRNA from 1 species
AUGAAUGAAGAAAAAAGUGAAGACCGAAAGACAUUCAGAAAAGAGAGCAGACAAAAGAGAAGUGAUAGUGAACAAGUGCUAGAAAUACAAGACAGAAACGAGAUUUGGGAAAAAUUUGGGAUAGAUGGAAUCUAUCAUUUGAUAAAUAUUUCCUUCUUUGCAUCCCCCUACCUGUUGUAUCAGUGGAAUUUAUUACUUGAGGAGAAGGCUAAAUUAGCUGAUCCCCAAAAAUGUCAGAUGACCCAAAAGUCUCUCUAGUCCUCUGUGUGACCUUUGAGUACUCAUCAACCUGGCAACAGAGCCGGAUGCUGGUGUUUCAACCAUGGAUGCCAUAGUGGUAGGUCCCAAGGGUCAUAAAACAAGCUCCCUAGAAGUCACUGUGGAUGGAUGCUCAUGAGCAGGGUUGACAUCACCUGGUACACACUAGCAAGGCCCUAUCAGUUGUGACAUUUG